AAGUUGUGCCAGUAAACUAAAAUCUUGUCCAGUAUGCAGGUCUGAAAUACAACAGGUUUUAAAACUGUACAAGCCAUGAAAUUUUAAGAGUACACGCACAAUACAAGGACAUGUUAACUGGAGUUACAUUUAAUAUGUGUAAAUGUACAAUAGUUUAAACAAAAUAUGUUCUCACUUUGAAAUUUAAAACAGAUAACUAUUAAAAUUAAGAAAUUCUCUAUUUAAAUUCACAGUUCAUUAUUUUUGUAUGUGUCUAUCAGGUAAAACAUUUUAAAAAAGGAAGAUUUUCCAGAACUGUAAUUUUAAAAUGUGAAUUUAGAGUGUAAUCAGUAAUUGCAUUAUUGUUUGUGUUUUUUACAAUGUGACAAGGCCAAUUUGAAAACAUUAUUGUGUACUUUACUUGUAGUUCAAGUUGUUCCAUUGAAAUGCUAUUUUUUACUAGUCAAAAUUGUCCUUGUACUUUUUCUGGCAGAUUUGAUUGUUCUGUUGAUGAUUUUUGUGAUGCAUCUGAGUGCCAUUUUUACAUUCUUUACGCAUAAUGUUUUUGUUAUAUGAGAGAAAAUACUCGAUUCCUUAUUUUUGUUAAAAAUAUAUAUUGUUUUUGUGAUAUCUUGGAGAAAAUACUCGAUGUCUUCUUUAGAUAGAUAUUGUUUUUUGUUAUAUCAGAGAAAAUACUCAAUUUCUUACUGAUACUUUUGUUUAAUAAAAACUAUGGUACAUAUAC
rnacentral:misc_RNA from 1 species